rnacentral:lncRNA from 1 species
AGAUCAAGAAGCAAUGAUAUGAGUAAAUCAGAAUAUCAGCUGUGUGUUGGAAUUUAUCCUACCUAAAUCCAAAUUUUAGUUCUGCAAUUCUUCUUUUUUAUAAUGAAGAAAUUUUAAAUAACGAAUCCUGUAUAUUCUAAAAGUUUAUGUGUUGUUAAUAAAACUCUUUUGGAGAAACCUACAAAAGAAAAAACACACCAUUGAAACUUGUGACAUCUGUGAAAUGUGGUUUAGGAAACCUGGCAGGGCUAGGAGAACUUCAAUAUGAAAGUAAAAAGCAUUUGGGGACUGCUCCGUGACCUGGAAGUUCAGAAGGGAAGGGGUUAAUGGUGACUGGCAGCUCAUUUCAAGUCUUUUUAGCACCCUGUUCCCCUAAAGAGGAGAAGGAAAACGACACAAUUGUCAGACAUUUACCGUAAGAAGAACCCUUCUAUUCUUCUAAUUCCUAGCAAGACGUGCAGAAAAUAAAAUCCAAACUGUAUAGCCAGUCUUCACUGACUUAACCAAGACGAAUCACUUUCAUGAGUGGCUUACUUCACCUCUUCUAGGAUUGACAUCUGUGCUUAUGGUUUAGCAACACUAAAAUUGGAAAUAAAAUUCAUAACUGAUACAUGUCUAAUUCAAGAGAUAAAAGCAACUUAUAACUAUAACUUUAUAAAAGGGUUCUAUAAACUGCUAACAUUUGAUAAUCAUAUAAACCAUCCUGUAAUGCAAACCACAGAAUUACUAUCAAGAACAUAAAAUAUAUUCACAUAAUUUGAUUCAUUCAUCUGCAGCAAGAGAAGCAGUUGACAAUAAAAUAUCACUCAGUGUGCACACGUGUGUGUAAACAUGUGUUUAUGUGUGUAAAGC